CUGAGUUGAGGGCAAUCUCUGGCUAGAUGCCCAAACUCUUCACAUCGGUAACAUCUGAUUUUUCUCAAGUCUCUCCUGCACUUAGAUCGCCCUUGUCGCGAUCUUCUGUCGCUCUGUCUACCACCUCCUGCUCCUUCAAAAAUCACCAAAGCUGAGCUACUACCAUCUGAACUCGAAACUGGGUUCUCCCUCUUAAGAACCUCAUUCUGGAGUAUCGUUGUAGUGACCUCAUCCAUCUUGAUGGUGCUAUUUCCC
rnacentral:lncRNA from 1 species